rnacentral:lncRNA from 1 species
ACUGCGCGGCACCGGGACGCCCGCCCGGCUUCCCGCUCCCCGCCCUGGCCCGCGCCCCUCUCCCUCCUAGGAGCUGGAGACCUGCAGGCAGGGGCAGGGGACCCGGUCCUCUGCAGAACCCGAGCUCAGGGUUGCGUUAGACCCACUCCGGGGCGCACGGUCUUCAGCGGAGGGACGGCGGGGUGCGAAGGACCGAGGCGCCCCUGCUCGGGUGGCAGCCGAUCGCCGCCUCCCGCAUCCCCCGGCUGCCUCCCCCGUCCGGUCCUACCCUCCUCCCUGCCCGCGAAGGGAGAACAAUAACCCGAGCGCGCCUGGGAAGCGGAGACACUGGGAGGCGGGCAGACAAUGCGAGGGAGUUGCGAGGGGGCAGCCCCAGCGCACCGCGCGUUCUCGCUGUGUCCCAGCCGCGCCCGAGGGCUUGGCCUGGGGCAAGCGGGCCGCGGGGGCGCAGUAAGAGGCUACGUGGAAGAUAAUUUAGGUCUCUUGAAAUCUAAAAUCUCACAGCGUCUGUUCAAGGCCGGGGAGAAUUUCCUCCAGUCUAGAUAGAACAUCAGCAGUUGGUUAAAAUACACACAGACAUGUGUGUAUUUGGGUCCUUUUCUAUUUUGGAUCUGAAUCUCUAAAGUCACUUUUGGAAUUUCCAUAAGCCUGUCUUUUUGUAAACAGAUUUUUCUGGGAUUCCCCCACCCCGACUCCUGUCUUGCGCUGCUUGUUCUUCCAGCUUGACCCUGUCCAGGUAUCCCUCCCUCUCUCCCUCCCUCCUUCUUUUCCUCCUUCCCUCUCUCCCUACACACAUACAUUUGCCCCAGUUUGCACCUUUUUUUUUUUUUUUUUUUUUUUUGGUGCUGCAAUUCUUUCUCCCUUUUGAUUGGCGCUUUCUUUGGGUUCUUCUGCCCUUUUCGAAGUGCUGGUUUUAUUUCCAUCCCUCUCAUAAUUUGUUUUCUCCAAUUCAUUUCCUCUUUUUUUUUUUUGUCACAAGUAACUGUAUCUGCAUGAUUUUUUCUUCCUACUGCCAUAAGUUCUGUUCCCUUAAGGGCUCAAGCGUUCCUGGGGUAGGGAGGGGACAAGAGAAUUUCAUUGCAUUUUAUCUGAGGGAAAUAAUGUGUUGUAGUUCCACUUUCAGGGAGUCGGGGAUACUGGGAUUUUAUACUUACAUAUGGGUCAAACCGUCUUAGCUGAAUAAAUCACAAACCUCUGUAAUAUCUAGGGUGCUUGGGUGCUUGCUUACAAUAAAAAAGGCAUGCAGGAAAAGCGGCGGUGGGGGGGGAAGUAUUUUCAAAUUAGGUCUCUAAAUAGGGAUUUUACAACAUCCGUUUAUUAUUAUUAUCAUAUUAUUAUUAUUUAGAAAUGGGAUCUCACCAUGUUGCUCAGGCCGGUCUCCAACACCUGGCCUUAAGGGAGCCUCCCAACUUGGCCUCCCAAAAGUGCUGGUAUUACAGGUGUGAGCCAGCAUGCCACCCUCCACUUAUCUUAAAGUAAAAUUUUGAUUAUAUAGUAUGUGAAAGAGACUGGCAUCUUUCAUUCACCCAUGAAGUGCCAUCUCCUUGGUCUCAUUUUUUUGCAUUUGUCCUCAUCUGCGGAAUGUCUGGCCACUUUGCUGUUUCCUCUGGGUGUGGUUUAGAGUACAAAGUACAACCCUUUAUCAACCAAGCAAAUCAGAAAUAGCUCCUAGAUGUGGGACGUGAGAAAAAAAUCAGGCAAAAGAAUGGUUAACAUUUUAACAAAAAGCAUGCUGUUUGUGGCUGAAAUAUUUGGAGGUAAGAAGGUGUGUGAGUGGUCCCAGGGUGAGGGGGCGAGGUAGGAGUGGGGGUUGUGCAAUUAUGAUAAAUAUCUAGGAGGCAGUUCUCUUUGCCAGGGCUGACCCCCAGGUUGGGCGGGGCCUGGACAUAGCACAGAUCACGUUUCUCCGCAAGUGAUACCAGAUAGAAAUGAAUGUGGUGCAGCCAUGACAGAAAAACCUACAACCAGUGGCAGCAAUGACAACAUGCAGAGAUGAGGAAGAGUUGUCCAGCUGAGGAGAGAGAAGUGCAGGUGCACAACCAAAUUUUCAGGAAUUUGGAAAUGUGUCAUGAGCACACAAAAGACACUGGAUUUAAACAAAUGUGAGUUAUCAUAUGGUGUGGACUAAAACCAUGUGAAACCAAGAGCAAUAGCAUUAAGAUGGAUGAUGAGGAGCAAGGGAAAAUGGAAAUGGCGAGACUGUGGCCAGUGUUAGGCCGACAUUGCAGCAGAUCUACAUUCCGCCGUGAGAACAGACAUGGGGACAAAAGCCCAGACCUGGUUGGAACUCCAAUAUGGUGCUGGUAGCCAGCUGUGACCAAGAAGAGGACAACCGGAGCAACAAUCUUAGACACAAGGAUGGAAGCUGUAAGGCAGGGGAGGAGUUCCAGGGUCCCUGGAGAACUUCAUGGAGCUGAGGACGUCCUUCCUGUUUUGUAGUGUUGCAUGAGAGAGGAAUAACAUUCUAUAUUAUUUGGCUGGGCGCGGUGGCUCAUGCCUGUAAUCCCAGCACUUUGGGAGGCCGAGGUGGGCGGAUCAACUGAGGUCAGGAGUUCAAGACUAGCCUGGCCAACAUGGCAAAACCCCGUCUCUACUAAAAAAUACAAAAAUUAGCCGAGCGUGGUAGAGCAUGCCUGUAAUCCCAGCUACGCAGGAGGCUGAGGCAGGAGAAUCACUUGAACCCUGGAGGCAGAGGUUGCAGUGAGCCGAGAUAGUGCCACUGCACUCCAGCCUGGGUGACAGAAUGAGACUCUCAAAAAAAAAAAAAACACCUGUAUUAGUUAAGCCCUGUCAUAUCGGAUCUUUUUGUCACAGCAGCUAGUUUAUGCUGUAGCUAAACCACUGCGCUUCUGUCUUGUUCUGAUAAUCUAGGUCUCCACCUACCCAUAAAUCCCCCCUACAGCCUGUGCCUGGGUCCUGGUAUCCUGCUGACCUACAAAUAUCUUCCUGGAUUCCUGAAUAUCACCACCUCCAGGAUUAUUGAGCCCCACGCUCUGUCUGUUGGGACACUUCCACUACUCUGUGUGGAGCUGCCUUAUGCAGACUGCUGGCACUACCAGAGUUUGCCUGCCACCACACCCUUCAGAUUGUCAGGCUCUAGCUUCGCUGUCCCUUCAGCUGGCUUUGUCUCCCUGGAGUCUCCCCACUCCAGAUAGAAAGUUGGCCUUGAGGCCCUAACUCUUUCUUGUCCAUCCUGUCCUGCAGCAAUUAACUAGGCCCCUCCUGGCUAUGUCCUGAGUUAUAUAGGGAAAGGUUUGCCUGGCUCCUCACAGGAAGCAUACCAUGGAAGUACAAAUCCCUACCCCCAAUACCUUCCCUGGCUUACCCUGAAGCUGAGUAGAAUUUCUGCUCGCAGUGUCAAACCAGCUGGUGACUAUAUAGGGCUUUUUCAAUAGAGAUACAUUUCAUUCUUUGCUAGCUUACACUUAUGUUUGUUUUCCUUCCUGCAACUUUACGGCGGACAUCAGAUACUGAUGUUUGCCUGAGGAUGUGUACUGCUUCAGGAACACAAAUUUCACAUUUGGAAUGUGCACAAGUCUAACUUCAGGUUAACAAUCACCUGUGCUCAUAGUAAGAAAUGCUUUUGAUUAACACCGGGGUGUGGAACAAAACUCAUCUGGAAUCCUAGAUUAGGCAACUACUAUUUAUUUAUGCAAAACAGUAAAGUCAUUAGAGCCCCCAUUCCUGGUAAUUGUCUCAGAAAAUGCAUUCCCUGGCCUCACAAUUCGUUUUAUACAAAGCAAGAAGUUAUUUGGGUUAAUAACCUUGAGUUUUAAUGACUCAAUCAAUAUUUUGGUUUCUGCAGGCUGCUUUGCUACUGUAAAUUUUGAGUACAGUGCUUGUGGAGUAUAUAAAUAUUUAGCUAGUCAUUGAAGCAUCAGUUAAUGAAAUAAUUUAAUCUUUUCUUUAAUUUAGAAAAUACUGUUGGCAAUGAACUGGUAUGAGGUGUUUAUUUCAGCUGCUCUCAUAGACUGGGAAACCAAAUUGCUGCUGUGCUGUAUGGUUUAUUACUUUGUCACAUUGCAAAUCCAUACUGCAAGUAUCUCUUUUAGAUUAAUCUCCUUCAAAUAGAUCUUGAAUAACCUAGUCACUUGCCUCAGAUGGUUUUAUCCUGAUUUUAAAUUUACAACCAUGCUUCUCUGUCUGUUUUAAGAUUUGCAGUAUUGUGUGUUUGUGUGUGCAGUAAAUUUACACAUGUACUAGGAAUCACAACCAGGACUGAUUACAGAUUUCUUCCUUUUAGAAUGUGAUGACUUUGAAAAAGAAAAACCUAUAUAUUCAGAGUUCAAAUACCAAAUAUAGCUUUCAAAUACCAAAAUGGCCAUGUGAAGCUUUCUUUCAACUGGUUAUUUUGUCUGAAUCAAAGCUUCCAAAAAUGUGUUCCUCGGCAUACAUAUUCUUGGGAUGCUAAAAGGAUUCUACUUUGUUUCUGUUUGGAAAUUCAAAUGAAAACAAAAAAGAUUAUACAAUCCAGUUAUUAGUCUCUUCACUAGCCACAGGGAAUCUUGAGGUUGAAGGAUUGUACAUACUUAGUCCUUUAUUUUUCAAGCUGAAUUAUUAGGAGGGAUUGUCUUGGUCUGUUUUGUGCUGCUUGAACAGAAUACCACAUACUAGAUAAUUCAUAAUGAACAGAAAUUCAUUGGCUCACCGUUCUGGGGGCUGGGAAGUCCAAGAUAGAGGGGCCAGUGUCUUAUGAGGGCCUUCUUGCUAUGUCAUCCCAUGGCAGAAGGGCAAAGGAGGGUGGGGAACUCAUCCUUGUAUAAGGAAUCCACUCCUGAGAUAACAAAAUUAAUCCAUUCAUAAGGGCAAUGUCCCCAUGACCCAAACAUCUUCCACUAGGCCCCACCUCCCAACACCACUGCAUUGGGGAUCAAGAUUGCAACACUCAAGAACUUUGGGGGACAUAUUCAAAUGAUAGCAGAGCUUUAGCUCUUUAACAGUGACCUAGAAAAUAACUACCAAUGAUUGCAAGUUUUUCUAAUACGUGAUUGGUUGGUGCCAGCUCUUGGUAGUAAAAUUGAAUCAGUAGAAUCAGCAAAUAGUUCCAAAGGUUUUUACUGAAAAAAAAAAGCUCUGACUUUUUAAAUCAGGGACUUUGAAUAUCAACUGAGUAUUAGAUUAUAUUAAGGAACUAUUUCAAUCUUGACGGAUGUGAUAAGGACACCUUAUGUAAGAAGAUCGCCCCAUUGUUAGAUGCAUACUCUGUACAAUAACAUAUGCUGUCUGAAACUUCAUUGAAGAUACUUCAGGAAAAAGAAGUGACUAUAGAUAAAACAAAUAGGACAGAAUAGUAAUGGUUAGUGAUGGCUGGUGAAACUCGGUGAUGAGUCCAAAAUGCUCUUAUAUUCCCCAGUUUUAUUUAUACUCAAUUUUCAUAAUACAAAAUAGAAAAGAGUUCUGUGGUCAAAUAAGCUUUGAGAAACCCUGGUUUUAAUAAAAUUAAUUUAGGCAUUUUUUUUUUUUUUUUACCGUAUGCCUUUUUAUGUAUAUGUAACUGUGUGUGUAAAUCUUUUAAUUUUCUCUUUGAUUAAAAGAAAACUUUUUUUAAAGACUGAUAUUCUGCCAAAUAUGCUAACUAACUCUAGGAAUGACUGCAUUCUACCUAACAACCAGUUUGGAUUGAAUUGCCUGCACUGACCACUACUGGACUGCAUGAUCAAAACAGGUGGCUUAUGCUUUUUUUUUUCCCCAUCUCUCUAUUUCAGUCAUAGGCAGCAGAUCCCUGUGGAUGAGCUUCAACUUCAGGGAGGUCAGCCACUUACUAGCUCUCUAAUCCAGGCGAGUCAUUAAACCUCUCUGCCCCUCAGUUCCUUCAUCUGUAAAAAGGGAUAACAAUAUUACCUACUUCACAGGAUUACCAUAUAGAAUAAAUGAGAUAACACCUGCAAAGCAUUUCACAUCCUUCUUGGAACACGGUAAGUCCUCAAUAAAAUCUGGAAUUAAAGAAUUAAACUCAUUCUUUAAAGGCCAGCUUACAUAAUAUGUGUAAUGGAACUUUCUGAGUUUCCUCUACUCAGGAUUAAUUCCUUUAUCUUCUGCAUUCUGGCAGUUCUAUACCUCUAUAUGUAUGAUUUAAUUGUAAAUGUCUCAAGGAUAGGGACCAUGUCUUAUUCAUCUCAGUAUCACUCCAGCAUUCUAAUACAGGCUAUCAAGCCCCAAUGGAUAAAAAAGAGGGUGGGGGGUCAUCUUGGCAAUUCAGCUUCCUUUAAUCCUUGAAAGACCCAUACAAUACCACUUACCUACCAAUGCACAACCACAUCUAGCUGCAAGAGAGGCUAAGAAAUGUAGUCUUUAUUCUAUACAUUGAAGCAACACCCUAUCUAUCUAUCUAUCUAUCUAUCUAUCUAUCUAUCUAUCUAUCUAAGAUGAAGCCAAAGGAUCAAGACUAGUUCUGUAAAGAGUACAUUGCCUGCUUUCAGUGACUCUUUCUGCCUUUAAUAUACUGAUUUCGGGAUAAGAAAACAACAGCUUCCUGAUAUUAUAAAUAUCGUUGAGCUUUUGUCAUACUAGGAAAUACCUUUGUAUUGACACACUCAAAUACUAUUCAGAAAAAAAGCCUUCAAAUCCAGAAAAGAAAUAACAUAAGUGCCUCUGUAGCAGUAACGUCCCCACUGAGGCACAGCAAGCUCAAACACUGAGCAUUUUGACAGGAAAACACGCAGAUAUUUACUUUGGCAACAGAUAGAUUUCACAGUUAUUACUUCCCAGGUCUAAGCUAUAUAGUCAUACGUCUUCCAAAAGAACACACAGACAGCAAUAUAAAACCCUGGCUUUAAUCAAAUUAUACCUGUUUCUUUAGUGUGAGCAAAGCUCUCUGCCAAUACAUAAGCAUCUUUUCAUUUGGUUUGCCUGAUGUGGCAUAUGAGUGAGAAAUCAGGUUAAUCCAGUAGUGAGGACAUACCAAUAACAGAGACCUGAUCUCAAUAAGCUUUUGGCAGGGAAAGCUUUAUAGCGUAUCUGUUCCUUUCUAGUUGAGGUAGAAAGGAGUUCAUACAACCAAGAGUGCAGAGCUCUUCAGUUCUCAUGGGAAUGGCUAACUGAUUCAUGGUGCAUAACAAAAAAUCUGCAGAUGACCUAAACCAUCAUACUGACUGUCAGAUUACAUUUUCUUCUUUGAUAAUAUUUUACCCAAAUGACUAACAAGUAUACACAAUGACUACUUGUGUAUUUUUCCUUUGUCUCACUUCCCUUAUCACUUAGGACAUUUCUUCUUAUUGAAAUUAAUCAACAAAUAUUAAUAGAGACAUUUAAUUAACAGUAAUUGAAGCAUUUGCUGUGCAAUGUAAGAAACACAAACUAUAUAAAGGCACUGCCCUCACUGAAUUUAGUUUACAAUUCAAUUGAUUUUAUUUGGAGUUUUUGUUCAUUUUUUAACCCAAAUUGUGGCAUAUUAUAUAACUACUGUGUACCUUGCUUUUUUUCACCUAAUGCCUCUUGGAAAGGGUUUCAUAUUAUUAUAGAAAUAUGGAAUACAUGGGACUAUGGGAUAUUCCUACGACAAGAGUAUAAAAUAUUCCAUAUAUAGGAGUAUGGAAAAUUCCAUUUACAGAAAUGUGGAAUUCAAAAGAAUAGAACUGCCUUAUUAGCCUUUUUAAACAGCUACAUAAUAUUUCAUUGUAUGAAAAUAACAUAAUUUACUUAAGUCCUUAAAUAAUGCACAUUAAAUCUUUUGCUGUUACAAAUAACGCCGCAAUGAAUAACUUUGUACAUUCGCUACUUCCCAC